CGUUGCGUCCCUGUAACGCGUUGGACUUCUAAUCCAAAGGUCAUGGGUUCGAAUCCCAUCUUGAAGG